AAGUCGAACGAUGAAGCCCAGCUUGCUGGNUGGAUUAGUGGCGAACGGGUGAGUAACACGUGAGUAACCUGCCCUUAACUCUGGGAUAAGCCUGGGAAACUAGGUCUAAUACCGGAUAGGAGCGUCCACCGCAUGGUGGGUGUUGGAAAGAUUUAUCGGUUUUGGAUGGACUCGCGGCCUAUCAGCUUGUUGGUGAGGUAAUGGCUCACCAAGGCGACGACGGGUAGCCGGCCUGAGAGGGUGACCGGCCACACUGGGACUGAGACACGGCCCAGACUCCUACGGGAGGCAGCAGUGGGGAAUAUUGCACAAUGGGCGCAAGCUGNAUGCAGCGACGCCGCGUGAGGGAUGACGGCCUUCGGGUUGUAAACCUCUUUCAGUAGGGAAGAAGCGAAAGUGACGGUACCUGCAGAAGAAGCACCGGCUAACUACGUGCCAGCAGCCGCGGUAAUACGUAGGGUGCGAGCGUUAUCCGGAAUUAUUGGGCGUAAAGAGCUCGUAGGCGGUUUGUCGCGUCUGUCGUGAAAGUCCGGGGGCUUAACCCCGGGAUCUGCGGUGGGUACGGGCAGACUAGAGUGCAGUAGGGGAGACUGGAAUUCCUGGGUGUAGCGGUGGAAUGCGCAGAUAUCAGGAGGAACACCGAUGGCGAAGGCAGGUCUCUGGGCUGUAACUGACGCUGAGGAGCGAAAGAUGGGGGAGCGAACAGGAUUAGAUACCCUGGGUAGUCCAUGCCGUAAACGUGUGGG
rnacentral:rRNA from 1 species